GCUCACAAGAUUGACAUGUCUUUGCCCGGGGCAUCUUUUCCACGCAGAGCGCUGAAAACACCCUGUUUGUUGGGAGAGAGUGUUUGGCCUCUGUGGGAAGUUUCAUUCUGCUGUUGAUCCACUGCCUGGCCCACCUCACUACUGGGGACUUCAACCAAGACUCCAACCCCAGAUUUCUGGGGUCAUUUUAUGAGGGGCUGAAAGCCUACUUCAAGGAGGCUUUCUCUACUACAUUGCAGAUGUCAGCAGUUUCCUGGGACAGUAAGUCUGACCAAAGCCUAAGUGCUGUUCUGCUGAAAGAGCAGCCCACCUCUGAAAAGGAAAGAGAUCUCCUUUCUAAACUCAUUGAGAGGAAGUGUGAGCCUUGCUUAUCAAGACAGUCAUCAGAAGAGUACAUUAAGAAAAGCAAAGAUCUCCUCCUUUUCACUAAUAUGGAACAUUUCCUAAAAAGCAUCCUUUCUGAAGAGCAACAAAUCUUAACAACACCGAGAGCCGGACUCCGUGGCAAA